rnacentral:rRNA from 1 species
AACGAACGCUGGCGGCAGGCUUAACACAUGCAAGUCGAGCGCCCCGCAAGGGGAGUGGCAGACGGGUGAGUAACGCGUGGGAACCUACCCUUUUCUACGGAAUAACGCAUGGAAACGUGUGCUAAUACCGUAUACGCCCUACGGGGGAAAGAUUUAUCGGAGAAGGCAGGGCCCGCGUUGGAUUAGCUAGUUGGUGGGGUAAAGGCCUACCAAGGCGACGAUCCAUAGCAGGUCUGAGAGGAUGAUCAGCCACAUUGGGACUGAGACACGGCCCAAACUCCUACGGGAGGCAGCAGUGGGGAAUAUUGGACAAUGGGCGCAAGCCUGAUCCAGCCAUGCCGCGUGAGUGAUGAAGGCCCUAGGGUUGUAAAGCUCUUUCACCGGAGAAGAUAAUGACGGUAUCCGGAGAAGAAGCCCCGGCUAACUUCGUGCCAGCCGCCGCAGUAACAC